rnacentral:rRNA from 1 species
CAGAGGGUGCAAACGUUGCUCGGAAUCAUUGGGCGUAAAGCGCACGUAGGCGGCCCAGCAAGUGGGGAGUGAAAGCCCUCGGCUUAACCGAGGAAGUGCUUUCCAAACUACUGGGCUUGAGUACUGAAGAGGGUCGCGGAAUUCCCGGUGUAGAGGUGAAAUUCGUAGAUAUCGGGAGGAACACCAGUGGCGAAGGCGGCGACCUGGGCAGAUACUGACGCUGAGGUGCGAAAGCGGGGGGAGCAAACAGGAUUAGAUACCCUGGUAGUCCACGCCGUAAACGAUGAGUGCUAGAUGUCGCGGGUAUUGACCCCUGCGGCGUCGAAGUUAACGCAUUAAGCACUCCGCCUGGGGAGUACGGCCGCAAGGCUA